UUCAACAAAGAACAAAUCAUCAUAAUCAAUUAGUACCGAACAAAAAAUUGGAUAUACACAAUCAUCAAAAUCACUAUACAUCAGAAAAAACACAUAGUUUAUAUAUAACUAUAUAUUACUACAUGUUACGACAUGUGACUAAAUAUGACUAUAUAUUACUACAUGUUACGACAUGUGACUAUAUAUGACUAUAUGUAUAUGACUACAUGUAACUAUAUAUGACUACAUAUUACUACAUGUUACGACAUGUGACUAUAUAUGACUAUAUGUAUAUGACCACAUGUGACUAUAUAUGACUAUAUAUAUAUGACCACAUGUGACUAUAUAUGACUACAUGUAUAUGACCACAUGUGACUAUAUGAGUAUAGUCAUAUAUAGUGUAGUUUGUGGUAUAUAGCUUCAAAUCCCACUUUUCAGUACGACAACAACCCCGAUCUCUCGACAAAACUUAUUACAUAGAGGUUGUCAAACACGAAGACCUGUGACAAAAAAAUCAAGUUCAGUUUAAAUAUUUACAUUAUAUAUUAAUUUAUAACCAAUAAAUACAGAUCAAAAUAACAAUCACAUGCAUAUGUUACUAUAUGUUACUAUAUAUUACUACACAUUAUUAUAUAGAACAAUAGUAAUUUGUAGUUUGACUAUAUUUUCCAAAUUCAUCUACAGCUUCAAUCAAAAUUUGGACACCUUCAAAGAAAAGACCAAUGGUUUCCAUUAAUUUACAAUUUCAAACUCAGGAAAACACAAAUUAACAAAAGACUACUAAUAAUUAAAUUGAUUAACACAAAAUUGAUGGGAAGAAAGAGAGCAACGAAACGAAAAAAAACCAACCACGAUGCUUAUAGCCUGCUAUUUUGUUGUAUUAUAUGUGAGCUUUGAAGAUUUACUCAAAAAAAAGAUGUGAGCUUUGAAGAUGAUAACCUUUUUACUUUAUUCUUUGCAGAAUGCUUUAUUUAAAAAAAACCAAAAAAAAAAAAAAAAAAAAAAACAGAAAAAACCAAAAAAAAACUUAUCAAACUCAAAAUUACCCUCCCAUGAGGAUGAGUCAGCAAACCAAAUAAUCACAACGACGGCCGAUUUCAAAGCGGUGGGGG
rnacentral:lncRNA from 1 species